rnacentral:rRNA from 1 species
AAAACAUCUUUUCUUGUUAGUUUUUGAAGUAUGGCCUGCCCGCUGACUUGAGUGUUGAAGGGCCGCGGUAUUUUGACCGUGCAAAGGUAGCAUAAUCAUUAGUUCUUUAAUUGUGAUCUGGAAUGAAUGGCUUGACGAGGCACGGGCUGUCUUAGUGAUGAAUAUUUUAUUGAAUUUGGUCUUUGAGUUAAAAUUCUUAGAUGUUUUUGUGGGACGAGAAGACCCUAUAGAGUUUAACAUUUGGUUUAUUUAUUUUUUUGUUGUUUGUUUUGUUUUUGGUAAGUGGGCUUUUUGUUUUGUUGGGGUGAUGAGAGGAAUAUAAUUAACUCCUCUUGAUUUUGGUUAUAUUGAUUUAUAUUUAUUUGAUCCAUUUAUUUUGAUUAUAAGAUUAAAUUACCUUAGGGAUAACAGCGU